rnacentral:snRNA from 1 species
GGAUGUGAGGGCGAUCUGGCUGCGACAUCUGUCACCCCAUUGAUCACCAGGGUUGAUUCGGCUGAUCUGGCUGGCUAGGCGGGUGUCCCCUUCCUCCCUCACCGCUCCAUGUGCGUCCCUCCCGAAGCUGCGCGCUCGGUCGAAGAGGACGACUUUCCCCGAUAGAGGAGGACCGUUCUUCGGUCAAGGGUAUACGAGUAGCUGCGCUCCCCUGCUAGAACCUCCAAACAAGCUCUCAAGGAAAUGAGGUUGAUGGCAUACAGUGAUUUGGCUGGUGUC